AGCAUCGUGGCGCAGAGGUCAGCGCGCUGGGCUCAUAACCCAGAGGUCAUCGGUUCGAAUCCUUUCGAUGCUA